rnacentral:rRNA from 1 species
UGGGGAAUUUUGGACAAUGGGCGAAAGCCUGAUCCAGCAAUGCCGCGUGUGUGAAGAAGGCCUUCGGGUUGUAAAGCACUUUUGUCCGGAAAGAAAUCCUUGGCUCUAAUACAGUCGGGGGAUGACGGUACCGGAAGAAUAAGCACCGGCUAACUACGUGCCAGCAGCCGCGGUAAUACGUAGGGUGCAAGCGUUAAUCGGAAUUACUGGGCGUAAAGCGUGCGCAGGCGGUUUGCUAAGACCGAUGUGAAAUCCCCGGGCUCAACCUGGGAACUGCAUUGGUGACUGGCAGGCUAGAGUAUGGCAGAGGGGGGUAGAAUUCCACGUGUAGCAGUGAAAUGCGUAGAGAUGUGGAGGAAUACCGAUGGCGAAGGCAGCCCCCUGGGCCAAUACUGACGCUCAUGCACGAAAGCGUGGGGAGCAAACAGGAUUAGAUACCCUGGUAGUCCACGCCCUAAAACGAUGUCAACUAGUUGUUGGGGAUUCAUUUCCUUAGUAACGUAGCUAACGCGUGAAGUUGACCGCCUGGGGAGUACGUCGCAAGAUUAAAACUCAAAUGAAUUGACGGGGUC